rnacentral:misc_RNA from 1 species
CACCCUUCAACUCCCACCAUGCAAAACGCCAAACCCUAGCAAUUUUCUUCUCCUAGAAAUCAUUUUCCUACAUUUUCUCGCUCGAUUCUCUCUCUAUUAUUUUCUCUUUCUCUUCGUUUCUUUUCGUCUCUUCCGGUGCGAUUGGAUCUGAGUGACUUCUUUUACAAUUCCCACUCUGUUCAUUCAAUCCGGAAGAGAAAUCCCCAAUUUCUUUUAGCCUUUUUGGAUCUUUAGGAUUACUCAAUUUACCGCUUUCUUUUUGUUUUUGUUUGUUUUCUUGGUGAUUGUAGGAGUAGUUAGGGUUGGCAACCUGAAUUUGGAUGAUUUUUUUAAAAGCAGUUUGGAGUUCUUGGGGAUAGGACCAGUUAGGGUUUUGUGGUUUGACUUUCGGUUUAAUCGUGAGAUUUCGGGAUUUCUCUCUUUUGGUUGAUUGUUCAUUGUUGUUCUUUUGUUUGGAGUUUUUAGAUUGAAGUGGUAGUGUGGUGAAGUGGCUAAAGAAGGAAUUGUAAGCAACCAAUGCCAUUUUCUUGGAUUGGCGUUCGACGAAUUUUUCGGUGAUUUUUUGCAGUACCGAAUAAGAUAGAGCUUGAGCUUAUCGAUGUCUUGGGCAGGACCGGAAGAUAUCUACCUUUCUACUUCUCUUGCUAGCUAUCUUGAUAAGAAGCUACUAGUGCUUCUGCGAGAUGGCCGAAAGCUCCUGGGAAUAUUACGUUCUUUUGAUCAAUUUGCCAAUGCUGUUCUCGAGGGUGCAUGCGAAAGAGUUAUUGUUGGUGAUCUCUAUUGUGAUAUCCCUUUAGGUCUAUAUGUUAUCCGAGGCGAGAAUGUUGUUUUAAUUGGAGAGCUGGAUUUGGAGAGGGAAGAACUUCCUCCACAUAUGACUCGCGUUUCAGCAGCGGAAAUUAGAAGGGCACAAAAAGCCGAAAGGGAGGCUAAGGAUCUAAAAGGUACAAUGAGGAAGAGAAUGGAGUUCCUUGAUUUGGAUUAGUGCAUACCCUGCAACCAAGGUAUAUGGUUCCGCACAUAUUAUAGCGGUCAAUUGUAGGGAUAUGACAAGGUUGGAUGCUCUGCAUUUUCAUUUAAAUCUCUUCCUUAUUCUAUGAAAUUUGUCAAAUACAUUUCAUUGAAAAAUGUUACAGAAAUUUCAGUCAAUUUAGUGAGUGUUCAUUCUGUGAAAUUUCUAUUCUAAGUUUGGAUGGGGUUUAGGGGCAGUAGUAGUUCACUUUUUGCAUUUUUCUGCUUUCAUACUGA